UGCAUUCUGUGAUUCUGAUACGGAAUAUCUUGCCUGCACUUUGGGAAACCAUGAUGCAAUGUCUGAAUGAACUUCCAUAAGAGGGAGGCAGCCCUGAGUACCUUGCCUCCAAUAGACUGUUUCUGUAUACUGGUAGAAUGGCCCUUCACAUCCUCCUGAUCUACGUAUUCCUGGAGAUGGAGGGGUCAUUUCUGGCUGAAGCUUUUACUUUUUCUUGCCCACUGUAAGAUGAAUAAAACUCAUGCUGUUCUAACAAUGAAAAAAAAAAAAAAAAUUCCGACCUAACA